rnacentral:rRNA from 2 species
UUUAACAUGAGAGUUUGAUCCUGGCUCAGGAUGAACGCUGGCGGCGUGCUUAACACAUGCAAGUCGAACGAAGCAAUUUAGCGGAAGUUUUCGGAUGGAAGCUAGAUUGACUGAGUGGCGGACGGGUGAGUAACGCGUGGGUAACCUGCCUCACACUGGGGGACAACAGUUAGAAAUGACUGCUAAUACCGCAUAAGCGCACAGGAUCGCAUGGUUCGGUGUGAAAAACUCCGGUGGUGUGAGAUGGACCCGCGUUUGAUUAGCUAGUUGGUGGGGUAACGGCCUACCAAGGCGACGAUCAAUAGCCGACCUGAGAGGGUGACCGGCCACAUUGGGACUGAGACACGGCCCAAACUCCUACGGGAGGCAGCAGUGGGGAAUAUUGCACAAUGGGGGAAACCCUGAUGCAGCGACGCCGCGUGAGUGAAGAAGUAUUUCGGUAUGUAAAGCUCUAUCAGCAGGGAAGAAAAUGACGGUACCUGACUAAGAA